GUGAAUCAUCGAAUUUUUGAACGCAAAUUGCACUCCCUGGUAUUCCGGGGAGUAUGCCUGUUUGAGGGUCAGUAUAAUUAAAAAUCGAGGCGUCGCUGUUUUGUUACAGAUUGGUCUCGUGGGAUUUUAGACGUUUUACAAAGGUUAAGUGAUGUCAAAGUGACAUAAUAUGCAUCCAUGCGGUACAACUGAAUCUUAUUUAAGAUCUACGUAGAUGAAAAACU
rnacentral:misc_RNA from 1 species